ACUAUUUGGGAAGGGAAACGAAUGGUGACGUUUUUAGAUCCAUAGAUCUGUGUUAAAAAUAGAUAAGUGAUAUGUUGAGAAAAAUGGUUACUUCCUGUGCCGUUGGAUUUAGAGGGUCACACACACGGUUCUUUCACUGCUGCAUAAAAGAUCACGCACUGCAAUAAUGACUUUAAAAGCAGUUCACGCGACGGGAAACCUCUCGGAUGAAUGAAUGACUUGCUGUUCUCCUUCACGCGGUCACAGCAGGGUUCCGACGAGCCGCACUGAUGUGAACAAUAUGAUGGACUCUAAACUCGUCACUGCCCAAGGUGGAGAUGUCUGCAGGCCCAGCAGGGGUGAGAUAAGGUUAUCCUUCAGGAAUGCAGAGCUGCUCGUAUGGAAGCUCAUUUAAGAAGAGGACUGGAUGACUGAGUUCCUCUCUCACUCCGUCAGUGCAGGGCUUCGCAGAUUCUAGAUCCAAAGGGGAUCGCAGGACCAUGCACAUGCAGCAGCCAUGUGUCACUGGUGCCAGAACCAUAGGAGGCACCUCACCGCCGUUCAGGCAAGUGUCCUCCACCCACCCGAUCGCAGCUCUGAACCUGGGAACACCGGAGAGAAGAAAGGCCAGCCUCUGCAGGCAGAUGGCGCUGUUGCUCCAGAGCGUCUCUGCUUCAGAGGCUUCUGACCGCGCUGUAAUGCAGGGGAAGCUUGUGUUCCACCACAGUGAGGUGGUACCGGAAGAGCGCAACUCUGAGGAUAAGAUGAUUCAUUUCAAAGAGAAAUUCAUUCACUUACAACAUAUACAUGGGAGGUGUGGAUUUGUUGGACUCAUUUGCACCGCUGGGAUGUCUACAUCUUCUGGCACGCGAUUAUCCUCGCUGUGACCAAAGCCUGGCUCCUCUACAAGCGGGACUGCAAUGCUCACAAGUUGCCUGUGAAAGACAUAAUGAAGAAGAGACUGUAUCAGGCCCUACUAGCAUCCUCUCUCAUCCUGGUGAACACAACUCUCAGCACACCAAAGACGGGGCAACCAUCUUCAGGCAAUUGGAGCCCAUCAAUACAGAAUGUAACAUCAAGGAGCCCUCUGAAUGCACUGAAGAGACCAUCCCCAGGUGAUGGGGGGUCACUAAACGGGGUCCCAACCAAGAGGCCAUCUGUACAUCCCCCAGCACGCACAUAUGCAAGUGAAAAUCAACAGAGGAUGUGGCAGAUAUUGCACUAAUGGAUUCAAAACCACCAUAUGUAGCAAGUGUCAUGUUCGUCUUUGCUUUUCAGAGGAAAAAACUGUUUCUGGGACUACCAUAGCAAAUAAACAUGGCUGAACUCUGGGAAUGAGAUGAUAUUCAGUUUUGUAUUUUUAUUUCAUAAUUAUUUUUUUAUUAAAAAAUGACACCAUAAAAAAUA
ensembl:lncRNA